rnacentral:tRNA from 1 species
GGAGAGUUGCCAGAGCGGUUGAAUGGGGCACCCUGCUAAGGUGUUAAGCUUGAAAGAGCUUCGAGGGUUCGAAUCCCUCACUCUCCG